CCUACGGGAGGCAGCAGUGGGGAAUAUUGGGCAAUGGGCGCAAGCCUGACCCAGCAACGCCGCGUGAAGGAAGAAGGCUUUCGGGUUGUAAACUUCUUUUGUCAGGGACGAAGCAAGUGACGGUACCUGACGAAUAAGCCACGGCUAACUGCGUGCCAGCAGCCGCGGUAAUACGUAGGGGGCAAGCGUUAUCCGGAUUUACUGGGUGUAAAGGGCGUGUAGGCGGGGAAGCAAGUCAGAUGUGAAACCCACGGGCUCAACCUGUGGCCUGCAUUUGAAACUGUUGGUCUUGAGUGCUGGAGAGGGAAUCGGAAUUCCGUGUGUAGCGGUGAAAUGCGUAGAGAUACGGAGGAAUACCAGUGGCGAAGGCGGAUUGCUGGACAGAAACUGACGCUGAGGUGCGAAAGCGUGGGGAGCAAACAGGAUUAGAUACCCUUGUAGUC
rnacentral:rRNA from 1 species